rnacentral:rRNA from 1 species
CCUACGGGCGGCAGCAGUGCGGAAUAUUGGUCAAUGGGCGUAAGCCUGAACCAGCCAAGUCGCGUGAGGGAUGAAGGUUCUAUGGAUCGUAAACCUCUUUUUUAAGGGAAUAAAGUGUGGGACGUGUCCUGUUUUGUAUGUACCUUAUGAAUAAGGAUCGGCUAACUCCGUGCCAGCAUCAGCGGUAAUACGGAGGAUCCGAGCGUUAUCCGGAUUUAUUGGGUUUAAAGGGUGCGUAGGCGGCCUUUUAAGUCAGCGGGGAAAGUUUGUGGCUCAACCAUAGCAUUGCCGUUGAAACUGGGAGGCUUGAGUAUGUGUGAGGCAGGCGGAAUGCGUGGUGUAGCGGUGAAAUGCUUAGAUAUCACGCAGAACCCCGAUUGCGAAGGCAGCCUGCCAAGCCAUGACUGACGCUGAUGCACGAAAGCGUGGGGAUCAAACAGGAUUAGAUACCCGAGUAGUC